rnacentral:rRNA from 1 species
UAACGUAGACGAAAGUUACGCUAAUACCGCAUACGAUCUAAGGAUGAAAGCGGGGGAUCGCAAGACCUCGCGCGAUUGGAGCGGCCGAUAUCAGAUUAGGUAGUUGGUGAGGUAAAGGCUCACCAAGCCGACGAUCUGUAGCUGGUCUGAGAGGACGACCAGCCACACUGGGACUGAGACACGGCCCAGACUCCUACGGGAGGCAGCAGGUGGGGAAUUUUGGACAAUGGGCGCAAGCCUGAUCCAGCAAUGCCGCGUGCAGGAUGAAGGCCUUCGGGUUGUAAACUGCUUUUGUACGGAACGAAAAGGUUUGUCUUAAUACGAUGAGCUCAUGACGGUACCGUAAGAAUAAGCACCGGCUAACUACGUG